rnacentral:rRNA from 1 species
UACGUAUGGUCCAAGCGUUGUCCGGAAUGACUGGGCGUAAAGGGUGUGUAGGCGGAAAUGUAUGUCAGGUGUGAAAUCCCUCGGCUUAACCGGGGCACUGCGCUUGAAACUGCAUUUCUAGAGUAUGUCAGGGGUAAGCGGAAUUUCCGGAGUAGCGGUGAAAUGCGUAGAGAUCGGAAAGAACACCAGUGGCGAAGGCGGCUUACUGGGACAUAACUGACGCUGAGGCACGAAAGCGUGGGGAGCGAACGGG